rnacentral:rRNA from 1 species
GUACACGAGCGGCGAACGGGUGAGUAACACGUGGGUGAUCUGCCCUGCACUUCGGGAUAAGCCUGGGAAACUGGGUCUAAUACCGGAUAUGACCACGGGCUGCAUGGCUUGUGGUGGAAAGGUUUACUGGUGCAGGAUGGGCCCGCGGCCUAUCAGCUUGUUGGUGGGGUAAUGGCCUACCAAGGCGACGACGGGUAGCCGACCUGAGAGGGUGACCGGCCACACUGGGACUGAGACACGGCCCAGACUCCUACGGGAGGCAGCAGUGGGGAAUAUUGCACAAUGGGCGAAAGCCUGAUGCAGCGACGCCGCGUGAGGGAUGAAGGCCUUCGGGUUGUAAACCUCUUUCAGCAGGGACGAAGCGCAAGUGACGGUACCUGCAGAAGAAGCACCGGCUAACUACGUGCCAGCAGCCGCGGUAAUACGUAGGGUGCGAGCGUUGUCCGGAAUUACUGGGCGUAAAGAGUUCGUAGGCGGUUUGUCGCGUCGUCUGUGAAAACCCAUCGCUCAACGAUGGGCCGGCAGGCGAUACGGGCAGACUUGAGUACUGCAGGGGAGACUGGAAUUCCUGGUGUAGCGGUGAAAUGCGCAGAUAUCAGGAGGAACACCGGUGGCGAAGGCGGGUCUCUGGGCAGUAACUGACGCUGAGGAACGAAAGCGUGGGUAGCAAACAGGAUUAGAUACCCUGGUAGUCCACGCCGUAAACGGUG